AACAUCAGUGAGAAGUUAGCGGUGCUGAAGUCGGUCAGUCUGUGUCACGUUCAGGCGGUGGUAGAACAUGACUGUCUGGGACACCGCCUGAUCAAGUCUGUGGAGGUGAGCGUCUCCCCCGUCACCGCCAACAUUGACGACGAGUUUGUGUACAGGAUUCUGAGGGAGUUUGAGAUUCUGAUCCCCACCAGCCUCUCCUAUCCCUUACCUUACAGACAGAGCAUCAAGACACUGCCCAGGUCCUUCAAGUCAACAUCACUGGUGAUGAGUGCUCCUGUCAAGAUAGAGCACCUGUCCAUCAAAUCCAUCUCUCUCCUCCUCAGUGUUCACGCCUCGCUCAAGCUUUUCAUUGCCUCAGACAGAACGCCUCUGGCAUUCGGAAAGUUUGAGAAAUCUAAGGUGGUGACCACAUCGUAUCAUCUCAUCAGAACUCUGGCCAUGCACUAUGCCUCAGGAGCUCUCUUCAGAGCAGGCAUUGUGGUGGGGUCUCUAGAGAUACUAGGUAAUCCUACAGGACUGAUCCGUAGUAUCGGGACAGGAGUUGCUGACCUGGUCAAGAAACCUUAUGCUGGUCUGACCCAGGGCCCCGGGGCGUUUGUCACAGGGGUCUCCAGUGGAAUGUCCUCCUUCGUCAGGAAUAUAUCAGCAGGUAUGCUGACCUCGGUGACAAACUUUGCCUCCAGUGUUUCCCGUAACAUGGACCGUCUGUCGUUUGAUGAGACACACAUGGAGAGACAGGAAGAGAGGCGACGACAUCAGCCAGACGGAAUAUCCAGCGGACUGCGACAGGGGCUGACCGGAUUUGGGCUCAGUCUGCUAGGAGCAGUAGCUGGCCUGGCUGACCAACCCAUACAGAAUGUUAUCCAAUCAGAGAACAGCAGCGAGCGGGAGGCCAGGAACUCUCCCGCCUCAGGGAUUGUCCGGGGCAUGGGCAAGGGAAUUCUGGGAGUCUUCACCAAGCCUCUAGGGGGUGCUGCAGAGCUGGUGUCACAAACAGGACAAGGACUGCUGCAUGGUACUGGGUUAGCUGAUGACGUUCCUCUUCCAAGAUACGAUGCUGAUGUGAUUGUAACUUCUCUAGCAAAUAACAGCGAAUCAAAAUAUAUCAUCAAAUUCCUGACCUCCCUACCCAACGCCACGCUUUGGUCAAUGGUGGAGGCAGACUUCCUGGACAUCACUGACUCAGAGGUCAAAGUUCAUCUCCUGUUGACCAGUGACCUGCUGAUUGUGAUUAAUAUAGAGGACGAUUCUCAACAACAAGCGUUCUCUCUGCGGGAGAUUGAGAUCUGUAACAAGGUGACCAGUCAUCAAAUCCUGACCAUUCUCUGGAAGGACUCCAUGCAGGCUCAAACACCUGACCAGCCUGGUGGAGGGAGCAAGGAUCGAGUUGAAGCCUUCAUUGACGGGACCAGUGGCUAUGUUCAGGUCUCGCCCCCAGACACACCUCCCAUGGACGACAGCCAAUCAGAUUCCUCCAUAUCCCCAAUCAGCAGGAGGGCGGAGUCUCCCAAAUACAACUUUGUGAUACAUCCAGAAAUCAAAAGUGCUUUUGUAGCUCAGUUCAAUUUGUUAAAGAAAAGGAUAAUGCAAAGAGGUUUCAAUGUCAUUUAAACGAUCAGCAUUGUAAAUUGUUACCUGCUGAUAUUAUCAAUCAGUAAUGUGUGUAGUAAUAGUAAGCUUACAUGUAAGUAUUAUUCUCGGUAAAUAGAACUGACAUGCAUGGUGCUUUUAAAGCCUGCAUUCAAUGCAUGGAUUUUGAGUUAUGGGCCAUGAUCACUCUGUUUUCAAUGAGCUAUAUUAUUGCUUCCUUUUACACAUUUAUAAUGAAUCCAUCUAAAAGUAUUACUUUCAAAUGCAUUUAAAAACCUGAAGCUCAGUUUGUUUUCAAUUUAAUGUUUAAAGUAUGGUACAUUUUACAGACAAUUGAAUAGAUAGCGAGUUUUUAUUAAUGCUGCUUGGUCUUACAAUUUGGCUUUUAUAUCACCAAAUAUUUUUUUACAGAUCAAUUUAUAUUUGAAAAGUUAUAUCCUAUUUCCAAGAUUUUAAUAUAUGAAUUAGAUGAAGAUAAUUCCAGUAUGAAAACUAAAAAUACGGGCAUUGCAAUGGAAAUGUUCACAGAAUCUGCAUGUACAUUUUGUACCUCUAUUUACAGCAAUCUUGCCUUGGAUUUAAAAAAAAACUACUUCAAAGUACUGUACAUGUUUUAACAGCUUCAAGCUCCUUUAGAAAACAGCUUUAACCUGUCCAGGUUUUGCUGAGAGCUGAGAUGUUGGUUAGUUUUAAUUCUUUUUUUUACUUUGCUACAUUUGAGGGGAUUUUGUACAAUUAUAAGACUGUACUGACAGUUAAAGAUUGAUAAAGAGACUAUUUUUAUGUGCAAUAGUGGGUGAUAAUAUAAUGGUACUCAAAGUACUUAUUUGUUAUUGAUUCAUUAAAUUAUUUAUUAUU
rnacentral:misc_RNA from 1 species